rnacentral:rRNA from 1 species
UACGGGGGGGGCAAGCGUUGUUCGGAAUUACUGGGCGUAAAGGGCUCGUAGGCGGCCAACUAAGUCAGCCGUGAAAUCCCCAGGCUCAACCUGGGAACUGCGUCUGAUACUGGAUGGCUUGAAUUCGGGAGAGGGAUGCAGAAUUCCAGGUGUAGCGGUGAAAUGCGUAGAUAUCUGGAGGAAUACCGGUGGCGAAGGCGGCAUCCUGGACCGACAUUGACGCUGAUGAGCGAAAGCCAGGGGAGCAAACGGG